rnacentral:rRNA from 1 species
UGGGGAAUCUUCCGCAAUGGACGAAAGUCUGACGGAGCAACGCCGCGUGAGUGAUGACGGCCUUCGGGUUGUAAAGCUCUGUUAAUCGGGACGAAUGGUUCUUGUGCAAAUAGUGCGAGGAUUUGACGGUACCGGAAUAGAAAGCCACGGCUAACUACGUGCCAGCAGCCGCGGUAAUACGUAGGUGGCAAGCGUUGUCCGGAAUUAUUGGGCGUAAAGCGCGCGCAGGCGGAUUGGUCAGUCUGUCUUAAAAGUUCGGGGCUUAACCCCGUGAUGGGAUGGAAACUGCCAAUCUAGAGUAUCGGAGAAGAAAGUGGAAUUCCUAGUGUAGCGGUGAAAUGCGUAGAUAUUAGGAAGAACACCAGUGGCGAAGGCGACUUUCUGGACGAAAACUGACGCUGAGGCGCGAAAGCCAGGGGAGCGAACGGG